AAUCAGUGACGUCACUCGCUCUGAGACCUGAAGUGGUUGUUCCCCUUGCUCGGCAAGGGCCGCGGCUUUUGUGGCGCGAUGGGUAACAAUGCUUCGUGGGUGUCAGUUGUUGAUGUGUGCAAGGGUCCCUGGUUCGAGCCCGGGCUGGGGCGAAGAGAGGGACGGAACCUACACUGUUACAUUGGGAGGAAACAUAUUACAAUAAACAGGUAAGAUUCAUCCCACAAAAAACAUAAACAACAGAAAGAGUUGUAUUUCAAGACAGUUUAGAGAAGUUGGUCAUAAAAGUUCUUAAUAUCACUUGCAAAUUGUGAGGCAUGAGCAGUUGUGAAAUGUUGCGAGAGGCCCUUCUGAAAGCACAUAUGGUAUUUCGUGGCACGGUCUCACACCUUACCUCAUCUUGCAGAAGAAGCUCAUGGUCCACUAUCUGCUGCUCCAGAGUCAAGGCCAGGUCUCGCCCCAUGUCACCACAGAGCACAUGAGCGACUGGCUGGUGUUCAAGGGCAAAAAAUCCCUUAGGGAGAGGUGAGAACCACGUCAGCACUCACCUUCACUGCCAUUCCCUGCCAAUACCAGCAUUACUCCAAGAGGUGUGGGUAAAAUAAACAGAAAAAUCGGAGCCCAGGAAAGUUGAAUUGCUCUGUGUUUUAUUUGAAGGUUGUGGAAAGAAACCCUGGAGGAGGGGAACGAACUCGCCCGGCUGGCCUGGGAAGUAAACACUUGCUUAAAAAUGAUAGACAUAGAGCACGAGGCUGUCUGCAAGCUCCGCCGCUCCAUCCUCCCCACCUCGCCAGCUGACAUUGACCUUAAGGUCCACACCAUCGUGGAGAGAGCUGUGAGGAGCAUUCUGGGCAAGCUGUCCUCACUCUGCAAGGACGGGAUAGGACACAUCACAACACUGCUGCUCAUUCAUAUUCAAACACACCUCAGAGUAUGCACACAAACAUGGACGCACACACACAUUGGCGCGCACCCCACACAAUGAACUUACCUGUACAUAUCAGAAUCAUACAUUCGACAGCCACCUCUUCCCCCACAUUUCUUGAUUCCCCCACCUCAAACAUGUUGAGUCAAUCAAAGCCCAGAUGCUGGAAUGGUGCUGGAAUGCAGGUGCAGUAGGGCCUAGUAUGUAAUGGUGUGGUACCCUAUAUCCUAAAUCCUGUCUUUGUGUUUUUUUAUUUAAUCUUUAUUGAAACAGGGAGUCACAUUGAGAUUAAACAUUAUUUUACAAGAGAGCCCUGUACAAGUUGAAGUCAUAUUGAACAACUACCAGACAGAACCUUCUCUACGUGGGAAAUGCAUACCUGUCACGUUGGUAUGAAAGAUCGGGAGACAGGCG
rnacentral:lncRNA from 1 species